rnacentral:rRNA from 1 species
GACGAACGCUGGCGGCGUGCUUAACACAUGCAAGUCGAACGCUGAAGCUCAGCUUGCUGGGUGGAUGAGUGGCGAACGGGUGAGUAACACGUGAGUAACCUGCCCUCUUCUUUGGGAUAACGCCCGGAAACGGGUGCUAAUACUGGAUAUUCACUGAUUCUCGCAUGGGGGUUGGUGGAAAGGUUUUUUCUGGUGGGGGAUGGGCUCGCGGCCUAUCAGCUUGUUGGUGGGGUGAUGGCCUACCAAGGCUUUGACGGGUAGCCGGCCUGGGAGGGUGACCGGUCACAUUGGGACUGAGAUACGGCCCAGACUCCGACGGGAGGCAGCAGUGGGGAAUAGUGCACAAUGGGCGAAAGCCUGAUGCAGCGACGCCGCGUGAGGGAUGGAGGCCUUCGGGUUGUAAACCUCUUUCGCUCAUGGUCAAGCCGCAGCUUUGGGUUGUGGUGAGGGUAGUGGGUAAAGAAGCGCCGGCUAACUACGUG